rnacentral:tRNA from 1 species
GGCAGUGUAACUAAGUGGUAGAAUGUUUGCCUGGCAUGCACAAAGCCCUGGGUUCAAUUCCCAGCACUGCAA